rnacentral:rRNA from 1 species
CCAACCCUCACACCCCACUUUCUACCCCGCACUCACGCAGCAACCCACGCCUUGUUGCCCAUCUUCCCCACCACGACCACGGGCGCCCCAGCAACCCCACCCCUUCCCACUCCCGCGGCACGCCACCACUCCACCCCUCCGGCGCGCCACCACCCUACACCUCCGGCGCGCCACCACCUCCCAGCCCCGCGGCGCUCCACCACCCCACCCCUCCGGCGCGCCCCCAACUCCGGUGCACCCCCGCGGCGAUGGCGGGAUCCGGCCGCCACUGGCCCCCGGCGAGGCCUGCUCCACCGGAUCCGGCGGCCACCGCCCCCCUACGACCACUACCGGAGCUCCUCCCCGCGAUCCUCCUCCGCCUCCCUCUCCCGCACCUGCCCGGCCUCCCACCGCCGCCCUCACCUCCCCUCCAGUGGAUGUGGACAUCGGCGACCAUCGCAUCUGGCCUGCACCGCGCCUGUAGCCACUGGAUCAAUGGAUCCCCCAUGCGUGUGUUCCCCAGUCAGCCCCACCUCGCCGACCCUACUUCCUUCUUCGCUGGCGCCGGCGCCCUGGCCCUGCCCGAGCCCACUUCUUUCUCUCCCCUACCCCGUGGUUUGGAUCCCGUGUUGCGGCCCCUACACCGACGCCAUCUCCUCCAGCCAACUCCCAUCCCCUAGCGCUCACCUCCCACCUUGGGGGGUCACUGGAUCGGGAUCCAGGCCGGGGGCUUCCCCCAACUAUGCAACGCCGCCAGAUCAGCCUCCCCGCGCCCCCGAGAUUCCAGAUAGGGCCUCCCCCCAAGGAAUUGUUGCGGGAUCCACAACCCCCCACCGGUGAGCCGGCCCUCUGCCCACCUCCGCAGCUGGAGCAGCACGGCCGUGCUGGUGCAGUGCAUCGCGACUCCGCGUGCAGUACAGUGGGUGUGUGCCCCCUCAAUUUCUCCUCCCCACAGUAUGAAGUUUGUUUUUGGUUGAUGUUGAAUUCAUCCGCGCUGCAGUAUGCUUGUGGGUGUGAAGCAGUGUGCUCGGUUGCCGCUCCCCCGUGUAGCUCGCUUGCCGCCCCCGUGCAGCUCACCUACGGCGAGCAGUAUGUUUGUGGGUGUGAAGCAGUGCGCUCGGUUGCCACUACCCGUGCAGCUCACCUCCGGCGAGCAGUAUGCUUGUGGGUGUGAAGCAGUGCGCUCGUUUGCUCAAGGGGGAAAGUGCUAGAGGAUAAAGAAGGAGCGUGUGGUUGAGAAAAAGUGCCCGAGUGGCAUUUUAUUUUGAGUUUAAAAUUUAUUGGGGGAAGUUGGUCUUGCAGUACACUAUUUUGAUUUUUUUGCCGUUGAAAUAUCUUCAGUGUCCUGCAGUUUGCUAUGCGAUGGGUUUAGUUAACCCGUUUCUUUUAUAGUUAGAAAAUAAAUUAAAGAAAUCAGCUCCUUUUCCUGAUGCAGGGUUACAUUGUAUCAUGCAGUACUCUUGGGCUCCUAAUGCGGUUCAGUUGCAGCGAUGCUGCAGUGCGGCCGCUCUCUCUGCUGCCAGAUCUACGACCGUUGCUCGACGUGAGCACCUCGGGCGCAUCACGAGCCGUUCAUUUGGGCGCAACACUGCAGUCCGCAUGGGUCGUCGCUGUGCUGCGGCUGGGUGUGCAGUCCACCGGUGAGGGUGCUUGCAGUGUCUUGAACAAAUUUGUUAGCAGAGAGACACAAAAAAUGUAGUCCAGUCCAUUUGUGUAGCAGCCCAUUACCACUCUUUAUGAAGUGCAAUUUGUUUCGUGUGUCUCAAAAUUCAGUCGACUACAUGAUCACUUGUAGUGUGUUUGGUCCUAGGAUGUGGUUUACUUUUAAAAGUGAUGUUGUUCACUUGCGCUCAACAUGAAAGUGCAUUUUUUGUAAAACGAAACAACUCGAUAGCAAUGAGGUUCACUUUGCC